ACGAAGGGGGCGAGCGUUGUUCGGAUUUACUGGGCGUAAAGGGCGCGCAGGCGGUUCUGUUUGUCGAGUGUGAAAGCCCCGGGCUCAACCUGGGAACUGCGCUCGAAACGGCGGAACUAGAGUUCGGGAGAGGAGAGUGGAAUUCCCAGUGUAGAGGUGAAAUUCGUAGAGAUGUGGAGGAACACCAGUGGCGAAGGCGACUUUCUGGUC
rnacentral:rRNA from 1 species